GAUCCGGUGGCCUAGUUGUUAGAGCCUCCGCCUCGGGUGAGGAAGGUGGCGGGUUCGAACCCCAGCCAAGUCA